rnacentral:rRNA from 1 species
UACGUAUGGGGCAAGCGUUAUCCGGAUUUACUGGGUGUAAAGGGAGCGUAGGCGGCAGGGCAAGCCUGAUGUGAAAGCCCGGGGCUCAACCCCGGGACUGCAUUGGGAACUGCCCCGCUCGAGUGCCGGAGGGGCAGGCGGAAUUCCUAGUGUAGCGGUGAAAUGCGUAGAGAUUAGGAAGAACACCAGUGGCGAAGGCGAUUCUCUGGACUGUAACUGACGCUGAGGCUCGAAAGCGUGGGGAGCAAACAGG